rnacentral:rRNA from 1 species
CUCGUAGGCGGUUCGUCACGUCGGGAGUGAAAACUCGGAGCUUAACUCCGAGCCUGCUUCCGAUACGGGCAGACUAGAGGUAGGCAGGGGAGAGCGGAACUCCUGGUGUAGCGGUGGAAUGCGCAGGUAUCAGGAAGAACACCGGUGGCGAAGGCGGCUCUCUGGGCCUUACCUGACGCUGAGGAGCGAAAGCGUGGGUAGCGAACA